rnacentral:rRNA from 1 species
CAGGCUUAACACAUGCAAGUCGAGGGGCAUCAGGAAGAAAGCUUGCUUUCUUUGCUGGCGACCGGCGCACGGGUGAGUAACACGUAUCCAACCUGCCCUUUACUCGGGGAUAGCCUUUCGAAAGAAAGAUUAAUACCCGAUAGCAUAAUGAUUCCGCAUGGUUUCAUUAUUAAAGGAUUCCGGUAAAGGAUGGGGAUGCGUUCCAUUAGGUUGUUGGUGAGGUAACGGCCCACCAAGCCUUCGAUGGAUAGGGGUUCUGAGAGGAAGGUCCCCCACAUUGGAACUGAGACACGGUCCAAACUCCUACGGGAGGCAGCAGUGAGGAAUAUUGGUCAAUGGGCGCUAGCCUGAACCAGCCAAGUAGCGUGAAGGAUGAAGGCUCUAUGGGUCGUAAACUUCUUUUAUAUAAGAAUAAAGUGCAGUAUGUAUACUGUUUUGUAUGUAUUAUAUGAAUAAGGAUCGGCUAACUCCGUGCCAGCAGCCGCGGUAAUACGGAGGAUCCGAGCGUUAUCCGGAUUUAUUGGGUUUAAAGGGAGCGUAGGUGGACUGGUAAGUCAGUUGUGAAAGUUUGCGGCUCAACCGUAAAAUUGCAGUUGAUACUGUCAGUCUUGAGUACAGUAGAGGUGGGCGGAAUUCGUGGUGUAGCGGUGAAAUGCUUAGAUAUCACGAAGAACUCCGAUUGCGAAGGCAGCUCACUGGACUGCAACUGACACUGAUGCUCGAAAGUGUGGGUAUCAAACAGGAUUAGAUACCCUGGUAGUCCACACAGUAAACGAUGAAUACUCGCUGUUUGCGAUAUACAGUAAGCGGCCAAGCGAAAGCAUUAAGUAUUCCACCUGGGGAGUACGCCGGCAACGGUGAAACUCAAAGGAAUUGACGGGGGCCCGCACAAGCGGAGGAACAUGUGGUUUAAUUCGAUGAUACGCGAGGAACCUUACCCGGGCUUAAAUUGCAGUGGAAUGAUGUGGAAACAUGUCAGUGAGCAAUCACCGCUGUGAAGGUGCUGCAUGGUUGUCGUCAGCUCGUGCCGUGAGGUGUCGGCUUAAGUGCCAUAACGAGCGCAACCCUUAUCUUUAGUUACUAACAGGUUAUGCUGAGGACUCUAGGGAGACUGCCGUCGUAAGAUGUGAGGAAGGUGGGGAUGACGUCAAAUCAGCACGGCCCUUACGUCCGGGGCUACACACGUGUUACAAUGGGGGGUACAGAAGGCAGCUAGCGGGUGACCGUAUGCUAAUCCCAAAAUCCUCUCUCAGUUCGGAUCGAAGUCUGCAACCCGACUUCGUGAAGCUGGAUUCGCUAGUAAUCGCGCAUCAGCCACGGCGCGGUGAAUACGUUCCCGGGCCUUGUACACACCGCCCGUCAAGCCAUGGGAGCCGGGGGUACCUGAAGUACGUAACCGCAAGGAUCGUCCUAGGGUAAAACUGGUGACUGGGGCUA